ACCCGCUGAACUUAAGCAUAUCAAUAAGCGGAGGAAAAGAAACCAACAGGGAUUGCCCUAGUAACGGCGAGUGAAGCGGCAACAGCUCAAAUUUGAAAUCUGGCGUCUUUGGCGUCCGAGUUGUAAUUUGCAGAGGGCGCUUUGGCAUUGGCAGCGGUCCAAGUUCCUUGGAACAGGACGUCACAGAGGGUGAGAAUCCCGUACGUGGUCGCUAGCCUUUACCGUGUAAAGCCCCUUCGACGAGUCGAGUUGUUUGGGAAUGCAGCUCUAAAUGGGAGGUAAAUUUCUUCUAAAGCUAAAUACUGGCCAGAGACCGAUAGCGCACAAGUAGAGUGAUCGAAAGAUGAAAAGCACUUUGGAAAGAGAGUUAAAAAGCACGUGAAAUUGUUGAAAGGGAAGCGCUUGCAGCCAGACUUGCCUGUAGUUGCUCAUCCGGGUUUUUACCCGGUGCACUCUUCUAUAGGCAGGCCAGCAUCAGUUUGGGCGGUUGGAUAAAGGUCUCUGUCACGUACCUCCUCUCGGGGAGAACUUAUAGGGGAGACGUAAUGCAACCAACCUGGACUGAGGUCCGCGCAUCUGCUAGGAUGCUGGCGUAAUGGCUGUAAGCGGCCCGUCUUGAAACACGGACCAAGGAGUCUAACAUCUAUGCGAGUGUUUGGGUGUCAAGCCCGAGCGCGUAAUGAAAGUGAACGGAGGUGGGAACCUUUCGGGGUGCACCAUCGACCGAUCCUGAUGUCUUCGGAUGGAUUUGAGUAAGAGCAUAGCUGUUGGGACCCGAAAGAUGGUGAACUAUGCUUGAAUAGGGUGAAGCCAGAGGAAACUCUGGUGGAGGCUCGCAGCGGUUCUGACGUGCAAAUCGAUCGUCAAAUUUGGGCAUAGGGGCGAAAGACUAAUCGAACUAUCUAGUA
rnacentral:rRNA from 1 species